rnacentral:rRNA from 1 species
CACGUAGGGUGCGAGCGUUGUCCGGAAUUAUUGGGCGUAAAGAGCUCGUAGGCGGUUUGUCGCGUCUGCCGUGAAAGUCCGGGGCUCAACUCCGGAUCUGCGGUGGGUACGGGCAGACUAGAGUGAUGUAGGGGAGACUGGAAUUCCUGGUGUAGCGGUGAAAUGCGCAGAUAUCAGGAGGAACACCGAUGGCGAAGGCAGGUCUCUGGGCAAUUCCUGACGCUGAGGCGCGAAAGCGUGGGGAGCAAACGGG